UACAGAGGUCUCAAGCGUUGUUCGGAUUCAUUGGGCGUAAAGGGUGCGUAGGUGGCGGGGUAAGUCAGGUGUGAAAUCUCGGAGCUCAACUCCGAAACUGCACUUGAUACUGCCUUGCUCGAGUACUGGAGAGGAGAUUGGAAUUUACGGUGUAGCAGUGAAAUGCGUAGAUAUCGUAAGGAAGACCAGUGGCGAAGGCGAAUCUCUGGACAGUUCCUGACACUGAGGCACGAAGGCCAGGGGAGCAAACGGG
rnacentral:rRNA from 1 species